GACGUAGGGGGCCAGCGUUGUUCGGAAUUACUGGGUGUAAAGGGUUCGUAGGCGGUGCGGCAAGUUGGGAGUGAAAUCUCUGGGCUUAACCCAGAGGCUGCUUCCAAAACUGCUGUGCUUGAGUGUGGGAGAGGCGCGUGGAAUUGCAGGUGUAGCGGUGAAAUGCGUAGAUAUGCGGAGGAACACCGAUGGCGAAGGCAAUCCCCUGGACCUGUACUGACGCUCACGCGCGAAAGCGUGGGGAGCAAACAGG
rnacentral:rRNA from 1 species